GUUAGAUUUGAGUAGGGUUAAAGUUAGAUUUGAGCAGGGUUAAAGUUAGAUUUGAGCAGGGUUAAAGUUAGAUUUGAGCAGGUUUAAAGUAAGAUUUAUGCAGAGUUAAAGUUAGAUUUGAGCAGGGUUAAAGUAUAUCUCACAGGUCAACAGUUGUGACUGUACUGUGUGUUUCUGUUUGACAGCUCUGUGUGUUGUGGUGUCAGCUGUCACUAAGGAAGUGGUAGGAGGACAAGUCACUGUGGGCUGCUCAUUCACUUGGGCAGGAAACAACAUCAAAUACUUCUGCAAGGGGACAUGUUCUGGUAAAGACAUUCUGGUUGAAACUAAGAGGAGCAAGACUGUAACUCAAGGAAGAUACAGUAUAGAAGACAAGGGAAAUGAAUUCAAUGUGACCAUCAAGAACCUGAUGAAGUCAGACUCUGGGACCUACUGGUGUGGAGUGGACAGAUUUAUAAAAGAUUCCUACCAAGAGGUGCAUCUCACAGUUACAGAUGCUCCUCCCACUUCUACAACCUCAACUGCCUCCUCCAGACCACAUGUCUCCACAACCCUCCCAAACCCCUCUACAACAUCCCCUAACACCUCCACAACCCUCCCAAACCUCUCUAAAACAUCCUCAAACACCUCCACAACCCUCCCAAACCUCUCUACAACAUUCUAUCUGCCAUCUGGAGACAUCAGAGGUCCCUCUUCGUCAAGAGCAGUUCCAGGUACACUGGUGGUCAUCAUGGUGUGUGUGAGUCUGGCUGUGUUGGUGGUGGGACUGAUCUACAAAUGGAGGAGAGACAGGCAAUCAUCAAGUGAGUAACCCUCUCAUGUAUGUAUGUACAGUUGAAGUU